UACGUAGGGAGCGAAGCGUUGUCCGGAAUCAUUGGGCGUAAAGAGCGUGUAGGCGGCUCGAUAAGUCUGCUGUGAAAGUCCAGGGCUCAACCCUGGAAGGCCGGUGGAAACUGUCGGGCUAGAGUCCGGAAGAGGCGAGUGGAAUUCCCGGUGUAGCGGUGAAAUGCGCAGAUAUCGGGAGGAACACCAAUGGCGAAGGCAGCUCGCUGGGACGGUACUGACGCUGAGACGCGAAAGCGUGGGGAGCAAACAGG
rnacentral:rRNA from 1 species